GCGGUCGGUGAUGAUGCUAACUCACUCUCUUCGAGUCUCACGACCAUGAGACAACAUCCUACAUGCACUACCAUCUGAGACCAC